AUGUGCGUUUUGGGUAAUUUUGAGAACCAUACAAUAUAGGAUACCGAUUUAUCAAGAAUGUGGAGAGGAGGGUAGCAGUAGCAGUUGACAUGAAGUGAUGCGGUGAGCGAUCGAAGUGAGGAAUCCAGAUGUCAUAUUGUUGUGCUUGUGCGAGCAAGGCUCUUGUUCCAAUUUCACAAUUGUUUCCUUCUUCGUCUUUACAAUCACAUGCUAUUGCUUAUGGCAGCAUCUGUAUCAGGCUUCCUUGUUCACGGCUUCAGCAAAUGUCCCUCGUCGAGCCACCCUAUCAACAGAGCAGUAGCACCACCACCAACUCUAAAAGUAAAAAUCCACGGGACCAUGAUGAUGAUGAUGAUGAUGAUGAAGUGGGAAUUUCCAAAAUACAAGUCCCCAGACAGAAACACAUCCCUGUUUCCAAGUCCCAACUUCUAGAUGCUAUACUCUCUACCAUGUUUAACCAAAUCCAACACGAUGCUGAUGCCCAUCACUUUCGCCUUCUCACCUCAUGCUUAGACUCCAUACUUCAUGCUGAGCACAAAAGUAUCUUAGAGGAGAUGCGUUCCGAUUAUCACCUUACCAAUAGUUCUCUCCAAACACGCAAUUCAGAGACACAAGUUGUGCCCAAUGGGAAAGAUUCGGACAUGGUUGUUACCAAUGACCUCAUUAGAAUUGAGGAGGAAGGGAAGCUCUAUCAGGAUAUUUUGCAGCAGCAGGAUCAACGGGAAAAACCUAUACUUCCCUACCCUGGUUUGGACCUCAAUGCUCUUUUACGAUCUCUCGACAUAGCUACCAAAAAAGAUUAUGACACGGGUUCCAGAGUUAUCAUUGCUACUCGUUUCCAAUGUGCUUUCAUGCAGCUUCUUUCGGAUGCACAAUUUGAAGAACUGUCAGCUAGGGACCUAAUGUUAACGUCUGCAUUGAACACAGACUAUCUCCUUACCUUGCCAAUAUACGUUGACUGGAAGAGAGCAUAUGAGUCUAAUGCCAUAAUAUUUAGGCGUGGUUAUGCAACAGAGAAGCAGAAGGGCUUAUUAAUAGUUGAAAAACUGGAUUACUUACAGUCUAAACUUCUACGAAGAACCUUCUAUGUUUUAUCAAAACCACUAAAAAAACUUGGCACCUGGAUGAGUGAGCUUUACGAAAAUGCCAGUCAGAAACAUGAAGUACAAAACUGGACAGAAAGAUUGAGGCUUUGGUUAAAUGAAUUGUCUGUAUUUCAGAAAUCACUACUUUAUAAUGACCCUGUUUCAGAUGAGAAAAUAGGUAUAAACCAAGUACCAAAUGCAGAACUUCCUAUUUGGCUGGCAGCUCAGAGGGCAGUAGCUCGAUAUGAAGGGAUUUUGUCACCAGUUGGUCCCCGCGGAAGGCUCUUAAGGAGAUUGCUUUCUUGGAUAGGACUUAUUCCCCCUUUGCAAGAAACACCUUUUGAUGUUCACAAUGAUAAUAACACUCCUGAACCAUACUUAAGGCCUACUUUUUUAUCAAGAAUAUCACUAAGUGAUAUAUGGAGACCUGCAACAAGGAAAUACUGCAGAAAUGACCCUUGGAAAAUGUUGAAAACUUCUAUUUCCAUACUUUUCUCAAAGUCAGUCCUGCAGGAACCAGCAUUUGAAGAAUUGAUUCUACUAUAUACCAAGGAAGUGGGUGAAACAAAUGCUAAAGAUAAAGCUGAGGUUCCAUCAUUGCAAUUAAAGAUCUAUGAGAGAAUUCCUAUUCCAGAUUUACCGGUAAUUUUCCCUCACAAAAAGCUAUCAUUCCGUAUCAUAGACACGGUGCGCUUGGAUGCUGCCUCAAUUUUGGGACUUCUGGCAUACUUCAUAAACUACAAAUUUGAGAAUGUCUUAUCUUCCCCAUCAGCAAUAUUACUUGAUGUAGUUGCCAUAAGUGCUCUAAUAAUAUAUGGGAGUCGUGUGGUUCUAGGCUACAAACAGACAUGGGAUCGGUAUCAGCUUUUAGUAAACAAGACACUUUAUGAAAAAACAUUGGCAAGUGGCUUUGGCUCAGUGCAUUUUCUUCUAGAUGCUUCUGAACAGCAGCAAGUGAGAAACUUCCUUUCUUAUGCUUUCUGUGCGUUAUGUGGAUAACUUUACUCUGACGUUUUGUGGGGGAAAAACAGCCAAUGCUGCUGAAUUAAUUAUUCGAUUAAGUGGUGCUUAUUUUAUGUUUUUUUGGUUUUUAUAAAAUUAUUUGAAGGUUUUGAAUGAUUUUGUUUGGCGAUUUUGUAAAUGUUCUUGCGUCAAUUGGCAGGGAAAACAUUGUAGGACCAUGUAAUCAAAUUGUGGUUAGAUGGUGAAUUUCCUAGACUGAAAAUCAGAUCACGAAAUACUUCCUUGGUGGAAUUGAUUCAAUUUUUGUAAAUAUAAACAAUUAUGAAUUGUUUUUGUGUGGUUUAUGGGGGACUGCUCUGCCAAAAUAGUACAAGGAGGCUAUUUUGGCUUAUGCUAUCCUGCUCAAAGAAGAGAAGGGCCAGGUUAUUUCUCGGAUAAGUGUUGGAGAGAAAUGUGAGAGAUUCAUGUAUGAAGUGUUUAAAGUAAAGGUUGAAAUGCCAAUUGACAAGGCACUCAAUACAUUAUUAAGGCUGGGCCUAGCAACUGAAACUUGUAUUGAUGGAAAGGACGGGUUGCUGGCUAUACCUUGUCCUGAGGCUUAUGAGGUCCUUAAAGAGCGAUGGAAUAGUUUGCUCAGUUAAAAUAUGCAAUAUGCAUGUUCCAUUGAGUACUGGAACAGCCUUCACAGUUUAGCAAUAAUGGCAUUGCUUAUAGUAUUAGCAAGUAUAUAAUCCCCUCAUGGCAUCCGGUAAUAGUUCUGUAGAUAGAUGAGACUAGGCAUUAUUCAUGCUGCACUAUAUAUUUCUUUUAUAUGUGUAUAAAACAAUGUAUAUAUCUCUUUUUGCUGUUGUUUGUACCAAGGAUAUUUUAGAGAGACUAAUUUCUUUGAGACGUUGAGACUGCUGGGAUAAAACAAUGCAUGGUUCUUUCUUCACCGGUC